rnacentral:other from 2 species
CGGGUACUGCUGUAUUCGACAUGGGCUAAAUUCCAGUGGCCUUAAGCAAUUCCGAGGGAGCUGGCUCUGUUUGGACCCUGGUCCACUUACCUGGCGCCCACCUGUAUAUACAGGUCCUCGGGAAUGAAACGCCUCCCCGGUACGCGUGGUCCCGCC